UACGUAGGGUGCAAGCGUUGUCCGGAAUUAUUGGGCGUAAAGAGCUUGUAGGCGGUUUGUCGCGUCUGCUGUGAAAUUUCGGGGCUCAACCCCGAACUUGCAGUGGGUACGGGCAGACUAGAGUGUGGUAGGGGAGACUGGAAUUCCUGGUGUAGCGGUGAAAUGCGCAGAUAUCAGGAGGAACACCGAUGGCGAAGGCAGGUCUCUGGGCCAUAACUGACGCUGAGAAGCGAAAGCAUGGGGAGAGAACAGG
rnacentral:rRNA from 1 species